rnacentral:rRNA from 1 species
UACAGAGGUCUCAACCGUUGUUCGGAUUCAUUGGGCGUAAAGGGUGCGUAGGCGGUCGGGUAAGUCGGAUGUGAAAUCUCAGGGCUCAACCCUGAAACUGCAUUCGAUACUGCUUGGCUAGGGUACUGGAGAGGAGACUGGAAUUUACGGUGUAGCGGUGAAAUGCGUAGAUAUCGUAAGGAAGACCAGUGGCGAAGGCGGGUCUCUGGACAGUUCCUGACGCUGAGGCACGAAGGUCAGGGGAGCAAACGGG